UUUGGCACUGGAUUCAACAAUCAUCUGUGUGUCAUCUUCUACUUCAUCAACAACCUCAGCCACCGGGACUUCUUCUUCAACAAUUGGCACAUCACCAUUCUCAGAUGGAUUGCAAACUUCUUCUACCACAGCUUCUUCUGCGGGAGGUGUUUUAUUCUCAGAGGCAGGAAUAUUAUUCUCCGGAACUGUUGUUGGGGCAGCAGGAACUAGCAGUAGAAGUGUACAGGAUUGUCACUUCACAAUCGGCAAUGAAUAGACAAGUACAAAAGUAGUAAGAUAUACAUAUACGUUACCUGGCUCGGGAGAUGUAAGUGCCACAUUUUCAUUGACCACGGCUGGGUACGAAGGGGAACUAUCUAGAUACCGAAACAUAUCAUUCAAGACAAAGUAACCCUUGUCCUGAGGUGCAAGGAAAAAAGACUGUGCAAAAUUGCGGCCUGAGUUGUCCUUCGCCGUCAUAUAGCCAGUUACUAGAACAUUAACUCCACCACUAAAGGACUCUUGAGAAUCUACUGACUUAAUCUCUGCUCUGAAAUCACCAUAGUUGAGGGCAAGAAUCUUCUCAUUUAUGGCCUGUGCAAUCACAUCAUAUCAACACAAGAGAGAUUUAUUUAAAAUCUAUUAGCAGUUACAAAUAUUAAUCUCUAUCAAUAAUCUACACAUACUAAAUUAUUUUACAAGAACGCUAUCAAAAUAAUUAUCUCAACAAUUCAAAAACAAAUGGAACCGCACUGCAUUGAAAAUCAGGCAUUCCACCUUCCAUGCACUAAACAAACGAAAAAAUAAACUCCAAAAUCAUGUAUCCAAUUGCAAAAAAAGAGUCACACCGGGUUUCUCAUAUCAAGUACAGUUUUGGGAGAACUCAUUAACACACAUCGCUAAAUAAGAGGUAGAGAGAGUGGAAUUACUUGCAUAGUGGUGGUGAUGGUCAUGGAGCCAUCCUCUUCUGGACGACCAAGCUUACUUACGUCCUGAUAAAACCGAUGAACAAGCCCCGGCGAGAGAUGCAGAAUGUGAUAAUACUGAGUCACAAAUGCGUUCCCAACCUAUAUCUCCCCACCAAAGAGCUAAAUUAACAAUACCAAAAAAAAUAACAAAAAAAAAAACAAAAGAAAAAUAACACUUACAACUUCGGCAGUAACUGGUGGCUGUGCUGCUACCUCUGCUGCCGCCGCCAUCUCCGAUCUCACCAAACGACCUAUAACAGCCCAAAACACAUCAAUACAGAAAGCCCGCUCUCCCGCACUCAAAAACCCUAACUGUACGGAUCUUCCCAUACCAAUCAAAUCACAUAAAAAAAAUCCUACAAACACGCGGCUAAAAGGUAAUCGGAUCGUUGCCGUACCUGGAAGAAAAUCGUAUUAGCUGCAGAGAGCACGAGAAAGGAACCGGAUUUUUCGGAACUCUCUCUACCCCGAAGCUUCCCUUGGAGCGCUGAAAAGCCGCCGCAGCCCCGGCGACGGAAUCUAGGGUUUGGACGACGUAAAAGGAGGCGCAGCGGUGGAUCUCGAAGAGGCGCGAGCGCGGGCAGUAUGGAGAGAGAAGAAGGGUUUCUGAUGAUUUAUUAUAAAUGGGAGAGAAAGAGAGAGGGAAAUCUUUGCGUGAUGUAUAACAAUAUUUUUUACGUUAUUAAAUUAUGAUUAGUGUUUUAGCAUUUGAUUAGAUUGCAUUUCCUAUUGGAUCUCUAGAAGUCUAGAACUUUCCAUUAGCCAAUAACGAACUCCACUUUUUUUAUUGCCUCGUUACAAUAUUAUUACGAUGAUUUUUACUGCACCUAUGGAAAACUUAAUAAUAAUGCACGAAUUUAUGGGAUUUUAUAGAACUUUAGCUUAGACAUAUCCCACCACAUAACAGUAUAAGGUGAUUAAUACGAUGGAAUGGACGCGGGAAUCAUAUAAUGGUUUUUAUUUUAUAUCUUGAUUUUAUUAAUGAAAUAAUGGUUCUUAUUGACUAUAUUGAUUUUAUUCUUUUAUUUGAUAUUUUUUUUUAUAUAAGAAUCAUCAUUUUAUUUGAAAUCGCCAUUCCUAUUCAAAUCAUCAUUCAUUUCACUCAUUUCACCUACCAUGAUAUUAGUCAUUUUAUUUCAUUCUUCAUUUUUUAAAUGUAAGUUUUGACAUGUAUAUUUAUAUGAAACAUAUAUUAUUAUUAUUAUUAUUACUAUUAUUAUUAUUAUUAUUAUUAUUAUUAUUAUUAUUAUUAUUAUUAUUAUUAUUAUUAUUAUUAUUAUUAUUAUUAUUAUUAUAUUUUUUACUUAAAAUGUAUAAAAUAUUUUUUGAAUAAAAAAAUAAAAAUAUUAUCAACUUUAUAUAAGCAAUAGUGUAAUAUAUGGAUUGAAAUUGAUGCACACAUUGCAUAAUCAUGUAUAAUAACAUUCUACAUAUUUUUUUCUUUUUUGGUUCUCCUUCUUUCUUUCAUGUUUCUUAUAUAAGCAAUAGUCUAGUAUAUGGAGUAUUUGUUUUUUCUUAUUUAUUGUACAUUAACAAUUACGCUAACUAAUUGAUUUUUUUUCUAACUUAUAUAUACUAAAAACAUUGCAUCCAGAUCAUUAAAAAAUGUGUUUAACUAAAGUAACUAUUUACAGUAUAACGAAUACAAUAAAAAAAUAUAAUUUGUAAAAUUUGUAGAUAUAUAUUUUUAUGCUGAAAUAAUAUUAUUUAAAAAUGAGAAUUGAUAUGCUUACAAUUUAACUAUGUUAUUUGAAAUUUAUGCUAAAAUUUUAUAUAAUCCUAGUAUUUAGUCUUAAUAUAAUUAAGUAUUAAUUAAUUCAAACGUUUAACUUCUAUAAAGUUAAAUAAAAAAAAUGAAUUACAAAUACUUAAAUCUAUGUAUCAACAAUCAAUUUUUUAAAUUUUUAAGAAAAAAAGUGUUUAUCCUAUAGAACUAUAUAUUACAUCCACAAAAUUAUCAUUGUAAUUUUUAAAUUUUUACAAAUAUUCUUCGUGAAAUACAUCAAUAAAAUAUUUAUCUACUAAAUUAUAUUUAUAAUUUUUAUACUUUUAAAGUGAUGUAAAAAGUAAAUUAUUAAAAUAAAAUAAUUCCCAAACUUUAUUUCUAGCUACCAAUCAUAAGAAUGAAAUCAAACAAAUAAUCAAAAUUUCGUUCCUUUAGUAUUCCUUAUGCAUACCAAGCAUAAGAAUCAUCUAAGAUUUGCCAUUCGUUUCACAUCUUCAUUCCAUUCCUACUUCCAUUUCAUUUCACCCUCUUUCCAUUCCAUCAUACCAAUCAUCUUCUUAAAUUCUCUCCCUCUUUCAUUUUUUUAGUUCAAUUAACUUCAGUACUCUUUCUUAUUUUUAUUUUUAGUUGGGAGAGAGAAAUUGGAAUUGGAUCUUGAUUUAUUAGUUCUUUACGAAAAAUGAAUGCCACCAAACAAAUUUUGUUGAAGAUACAAGUGCUAUUAGAUUGAAAACUAAAAGUUCCACUAACAUAUUGGAAAAAAAUUGUAAUUUUGGUGUGUAUUUUGUUUUUAUAAAUUUAAUUUAUGUAUUAUUGAAAAUAAGUUUGUGUUCUAAAUUCGAGUUCUCGUAUAAAAUAUGCACUCAUCCCAUUUUGAGUUAUGUUUAAAUUGGAUUCAUUAUGAGCAAGGAUCAGGAAUCUAUAAAUACAUAUAUUCAAAAACUUAACUAUUAGAAAUGAUUUUUUUUCUAAAAAAACUUAAUUAUCACAAAUGAAAUUAAAAAACAAGGCAAAUAUUUACAACUCAAAAUGGGUCGUCAAAUCACUUUGUUAAGAAAAAAAUUGGGCUUGUAACAUAAUACUAAUGGGCUGCAUCAACUAUAAAUGGGCCGUGCUCUCAAACAAGCCAGAGUCCCUCUGUUUUAUUCAAUAUAACCCUCAUUUAAAAUAAUAUUAAUAAAUUUACUAUUUUAUCUUAUAGUCCAUAAUCCUCAAAUAUCAUACUUCAUUUUCAGAAUUGCAUUAUGCAAUCUUCUCAAUCAACUCAAUUUUUGAAGUUCUGGAUUGUCAUCUUAAUUUUCCAAGUUUGAAUUUUUAACUUUUAGUACGAGAUUGGUGAUUCAGCGUAGAUGCAUCAUUCACUCCAUCGUCAACUUUGAUAUUCUUCAUUUUACUAAAAUAGUUCAAACUUGUUGUGAAAGGGUAGGAGGCUACAUUUUGAACCAUCAAUAAAUAACAAUAAGGUGCACUAAUUAUGUUUAUGCAAUAGGUAAAAAAGAAGACCAUUCCAGAAAUCUCCAUUUUUUCCCAAUUUUGAAAAUUUCAAUGCAAUCAGAUUUGUAGAAAACUCCCGGAGGAUUAGUUCCCAACAAUAUAGCUGACAGAAUCGCAUCAAUUAGAAAUCAGAUUGCUCUAGUUGCAGAGGAUACUGAUAUCUAAUUCUUGAACUCAACUUUUACCAUUUCUUUAUUUCUAAUUAGUAAUUUUUGGGGUUAUUUACGGCUAAAUACACGAACUUUGGACCAUUUUAUUUUUCCCACGAACUUUGAAAGUUGUCAAAAAAAAUAAAAAAUACACAACAUUGUUGCAAUUUUCCCACAAUUUGAAUUUCAGUCAAAAUUGAAUCUGACAUCAAAACGACGUUUUGAUUCUGAAACAUAUUUUAAAAAAAAGUUAUUGGCAACGUAAAUAAAUGAACUUUUGCUCUUUUUUUCCCCCAUACACUUUGAGAAUUGUCAAAAAAUACACAAACUUAAACAUAUGCGAUCUUAUAAUUGUUUGAUGUUAUCGUAUUAUUAUUUCGUCCCAAAAAAUCUAUAACUAAAUGUAUUGUAGGCACCACAGUCAUCUACAAUCCUACGCGGCCUCAUUAGAAUUUUUUGUUCUUAUUUAUCUAAAUACAUCAAAUCAUGCAUUCAUAUAAUACUACGUCGCAUGGAAUGGUGUUGGGAGGUCGCUGCACGUUGUAUUCGGUAAUUAAAGAUAGAGCCCCAAUAUAUGGUACCCUUUUGGUCAGCGCUUUUGACAAAGUCAAAUGUAGCCUCCGCAUACAAACGACAAAUGAGUGUCGUCUCGGCUGAAGUAUAGCCACCUCUUUGUUUGGUGGUCACCGGUAUGGUCGCUAUCUCCUCUACCACGGGCUCGGUCGCCGCCGCAAAUUGAGGGUUCAAAUUAAUUUCCUCAAGAUCCGCCGUUGGAACGAUGUUUGAUUUUUGAGAGAACGACGAGAAUGCUUGGCCGGACGAAUUUGCGUUACCGGAAAAGGGAUUUUGGGAGUGGUUCAUUCACCAAUUAUCAUCCAUUUUUGUAGCACAAAAUAUAUGAAGUGAAGAAAAAUAAAUUUGCAAAGAAGAACAAAUGAGAAUUGUGUAUGAAAUUGAAUGGAAAAGAGGGAGGAAUUUAUAGAAGGGAAAAGAGGAAUAAAAAAAAGGAAAAAAAAAUUGAAAAAGAGUCGUUGAAGGGCUCUCUACGAAAAUAAUAAAAAAGGGCCAUUUUUUGAAUUUAAAAUCAUUUUUUUAAUCGAUGCAUUUUUUUCUAAUUUGACCGUGAGAAUCACACGCUCAAUCAUUCGGUCGUCACACUGGGAACGGAGCUGGGCGCCAUGCACGAGUGAGGUGGAUUCGGCAUUGGCGGGGGGCUCGCGCGGGCCCAAUGCGCACCGGCAUCGAAGCGCCCCACUGUGGAUGCUCUAAUAAAUUUGCUUGCUCCAUAAAAAUUGAUCUUCCGAUCAAAUAUCGUCAUCAAUCUCUUCUCAUCUCUUAUAUCCUAAAACAGGAUUAUAUUAACUUGUUGCACUUGCUUAUUGUUUUCUGUAUACAAUCUCAACGGUUUUUCUCAUUUCUUAAAUGUUCUCAACCACUACAUUUUGGAAUUAGGCUCUGUUAUUCAUUCUCUAGUCAUUCUGCUUUAAACAAACAAUGUUGGGGCUCAUUCUUUAAUCUUCUAAGUGAAAAAUUGCUGACAUUGGUGAUAUAAAGACCUUAUGUGGCUUGAAGUUGCUGCUACGUUCACCUUUUCAUGCUUUGUGCUUCGAUAUACUGAAUUUUGUAUGCAGACUUUCUAUACUUUGACUUUCUUUGUUUAUCUUUCUAUAUUUCUAUCCUUGUAUACUUUCUAUAUCUUGUCUUUCUAUGUUCCAUCAUGUACAACUUAGUCUAUAUUUCAAGCUUUUCUAUGCCAUGCCAUUCCAUUCUCAAUGCUUUCUAGAUACAGUCCUUUCUAUUCUAAAUCCGUAAAUUUUCUUCUAAGAUACUCUAAACUUAAAGAUAAAAAUCUAAAGUCAUUCUUCAUCAGUUCAUCAAGCACUACAGUCUAGUCAUCAUGUCAUUUAUAGGUUCCGAAUCUAACUAAAGCAUAUAAUUACAUGUGGUGGUUAAACCAUCUUUAGGUGAUAAAUAUCAUGCGUCAUGGAACAUUUUCUCAUUUCAAAUCAAAUGAGUACAUAAUUUCGCAUGGUAAAAUAUUUUCUGUCUCAAAUUCGUUCUCAUAUGCAUAUUUUAUCUCAAUACAUGUUAAAGUUCCAUACAUGUUGUGUCUCAGUGUACGAAUGUCUCCAUAUAUGAUUCGCUCCAGUGUAUGUUCAAUCACAAUACAUGUCUCGUGUCAAUGCAUUCAGACUUAAAACACAUUUAUUCUCAUUGCAUGUUCAGUCUCAAUACAUGUUGAGAUACAUUGCAUUUUCAUUUUUCAAUGCAUAUUCAGUCUCAAUAUGUGUUCUGGUUUAAAUACAUGUUUUAUUUCAAUGCAUGUCCAGUCUCAAUACAUGUUCCGUCUCAAUGCAUGUUAGAAGUGCAUGUUCAGUCUCAAUGCGUGUUUCGUCUCUAUACAUGUUCAGUUUCAAUGCAUGUUCAUCUCAAUACAUGUUCUGUCAAAAUGCAUGUUCCAUCUCAGUCCAUAUUUAAUCUCAAUCAUAUUUAUGUUCUAUAACAUAUUCAUGUGGUGCAUUUCAGUAAACACUUUGAAGACAUUUUUAAUGUACCUUAGUUGAGGGCAGUGUGGCGACGAGCUAAGGGUUGCCGAAUACAUUUUGAAGUCUAGAGAUGUUAUUCUAGACUCAACAUCAAUGAACUUGAGGUCUCAGAAGCAAGAACUUUCGUUCUGAUACCAUCUACUAUCUAUAUAUAUCUCUCUCUUUCUCUCUCUCUCGACGGACAACGGUAGUCCACGGGCUUUCGCCGCCGCCGACCCUUUUGCUCAGUCAACGGGCAGCGGCAACCAUAAAGCUACCGUUGUCGUUGCCUCCAACUUGCUCUCUUUCUCCCAGCCCCUGCUCGCCACAAUCUCUGACAUCAACACACAGAACCAAGGUUCAAGCAAAACAGUAAAGUUAAAAAAUAAUCAUUGAUCAUCAUUUCCUCAUUAUUUUCUAUUUCAAUUUAUAAUCUCGUUUCAAAAAUUGUGAGGAUGUUAUUUGGGUUUGUAUAACAACUUAUCUCAUUUAUUCUCUUGUUUCAAUUUGGUUAAAAAGGAAACCUUAGUUCAUAUAUAGAACAAAUGUCUCCAUAUCAUACUAUGUAAAAAUGUGUGCACACAAAUUGUGAUGGCAGUAAUUGAUUUAUGCGAAAAUGGUUAUAUUUUGUGAAACUGGUCGUGUCUAUUGUUUUUGUAAUUAUACGAGCAGAUAAGAUUAUGUCACAGAAGGUGUUAGAAGGGCCAAACCUUGAUGAAAAAGGUUAUGCAAGUUCUGUUUGUUGGAAAGGAUUACGCAUCACAUUUGAAUUUUAAUGAGAAUUUUCUUUAAAACAAAAAAAUUUAAUUGAGAUUAGAUGGUAGAAGUUUACCGUGAACUGACUAAAGAAAUUUACACUGGAGAAUUGAUACUAAAAAUUUAUAAAGUUGUGGUGUGUGCUGCAAAUGACGUUGGGUGAGAAAUUUUUGGCUGAGAGCUUUAUAAAGAAGGGAGUGUGAAUAGGAAAGUAUAUGUGGAUUCACCAUCGUCUUUCAUUCUUAAUAAAUUUUUGAAAGAAUCUGAAUGAUUAGAAGGGAUGGGUUGGGCUUCAGAAAAAUACAAAAAAUUUGGCCAAGUAUUAAAGGCCCAGAAUAAAAUUGAAAGAUCAUAUAAAACUUCAUGGGUAAUUCUAUGAAUAGCCUCCAUUUUACUCAAUAUAGUCCCUUAUUUAAAAUAACAAUAAUAAAUAAUUAUACAUUUACUAUUUUAUCCUGUAAUUUAUAACCCCAAAUUUAAUACUUUAUACUAAUUCGUAGCCUCCAAACAAUGUAUAUUUUAUUCAUCCAUAUUUCAAUUUCAGAACCGUAUCUUCUCAGUCAACUCAAUUUUUGAUGUUUUGGGUGUAUCACCUCAAUUUUCGAAGAUCACAAUCACUACACUCUCCUAAAAUGGCUUCCGCCACCAAUCGAUUAUGUCUCUUCCUUCUCCUCAUUGCACACUCACGAAAGAGACAUUCAAUUCUUCAACAAAGGCUCUGUCAUCCCCUACGCCGAACAACCCAAAUUCUUUCAAGAAUUUGUGUUAGAAAGGUAAAGUCGAGAAUAACGCAGGCGUCAAAAAAGUUGAGUCAAGAACAAUUAAACCGCAAGAUCUAAGGGCGUAAAGAAGAAAAAGCGAAAUCUAAAACUUGCCCCACAAAAAAAAAUGGUGAAGCACUAAUAAAGAUAGUAUAGAGACAAAUAGAAGAUGAGACAGAAACCAUAUAUCUUGCAUGGGGUUCGAGAGGGGUUAAAGAAGUUUCUCCUAUUUCUUUUUCCUUUUUUUAUUGGGAACUCCCAGAACAACAUGAAACGUGACUAUUGCAAAAUUCACAGCGCCAUUUUCAUAAUUUAACACCCAAAAUAAAAAAAGUUUCAAUUUGACGAAAAAUUAAAUGAAAUUCUAAGAGAAGAUCAACCAAAAAAUGAAUUUUAUAGCAAAAAGUCAUGAGAAAUAGUGAGUUGCAUAUGAAUUUAAUGGUGAAGCAUACUCGAGAUGAGUUUGAAGAUAAAGUCAAUAAUUGCCUCGAUUGUUAUAUUACAUAAUUUGGGGUUAUAGAUUAUAGGGUAAUAUAGUAAAUCUACAAUUAUUUGAGGCUAUACAGAGUAAAUAGAGACUAUGAAUAGAAUUACCCAAACUUCAUUUUGUCCAAUCUUAAAUUCCUUAUUCAAACUUGAAUUAAGCUUUAGGAAAAAUAAUUUAAAGCCCAAACUUGAUAUUAAUAGAAUGAUUUCUUAAAACUUUUACAUCAUGACUCUUGCUUUAAAACUCGCACUGAAAUUUAGUCUAAUCAUAUAUUAACUUUCAAAUUAGUUAGCAAAUCAAGGAAAAAUUAUUUUUUCUCAAAACUUUAAUACUAUCUCAGUCCCAUUAUUUAUAGGACAUUAUUGUUGGGCACGGAAAUUAAGGAAAACAAGAUUAGGGACUAAGAUGAGAUACGGUGUUUCAUUAGGUGAUUAAUUAAAAUUUUACUCAUCACUCAUCAAGAUCAACAACAACAUUAAAUGGAUUCUCUCAAGAUCAAAAUCAACAUUAAAAUUUACUCAAUAAGAUCAACAAUACAAAAAAUUUACUAUGCAACAAGAACAACAUCAAAACAAAUUUUUUGAGAAAAUCAAAAUUUUACUGAGAAAGAUAAAAAAACAUUACUCACAAUAGCAACACAAAAAUCGAACAAAAAUCAAAAUAAAAAUAAAUCCACCGCAGAGAUUCGAGACAAGAUAAGCGAAAAUCGAACAAAAUCAAACAAAAAUUGAAACCCAAUUAAGUAUUCCAAGAUCUGCCCGAGAUCUAUUCGACGAUGGCUACAAACUAGCUUUAGAUCUACAAAAAUAAAUUCACCGUAGAGAUAGAGGCUCGCCGUGCAGGGAAGAGGGGGGAGGAAAGAGAGAGAGGCAGUGGAGUGGGUUUUGGUCCGCCGGUGGAGCAGCGAUAGAGGAGAGACUUAGAGAGAGAGGCGGUGGAGUGGGUUAGUGUAGCGGUGGAACGGACGGUGUAGGAGGAGAGAGAGAGAGAGAGAGAGAGGCAGUCGCAUGGGCGGAUGGUGGCUGCGACGACUGGCGUCUGGAGGGGGAGGGGGUUCUUCGGCGGUGGGGUGGUCGGAGAGGGGAGGGGGGUUCUUCGGCUGAGGUUUCUCUCGAGGCCGCCGCCCCACUGCUAGAGUUUUUCUCGAGGCCGCGGCGGCGCUGUGUGUUGCCUGUCCAAGAGAGAGACGAGGCUGGAGAUGCUGAGACGGCAGGGAGAGAGAGAGAUGGCUUUAGGUUUCAGGGAGAGAGAGAGGUGAGCGGAAUUGAAAAAGAUGAAAAAAAAUGGAAUGAUUUUAGAUGCUCCGUCAAGUCCAUAGUAUAAUUAGGGAGAUAAUUAGUCAAUUAGUUAAGGCUUAAUUUAUCCCUUAUUUUUGCAUAAAAUAGAAAUGUGCCAUGUAUGUUGGGAAAACCCAAAAUGAAAUUUGUGCCAUGACUAAUGGGACAGAGGGAGUAAUUUAAAUCUUCCUGUAAAACUUUGGUAAAAUCUUUUGUUACAAUGAAAUACUUUCUCAAAAAAAUUCUUCGGAUAAGAAACGACUUAAAUGAAAUUCUAAAUUAAAAAUUCUCAUGAAAUUUUAAUGAGGAAAAGUCAGGGUAUUACAAAUUCAGCUCAUACACAACAAACAUUAUGUAUUGUUUAUGUGGAAAACAUAUGUUGUUGAGGUCUUUGUUGUCUAUUCUGGGGUGCUCAUAGGCAACAUGUUUAUAAUGUGUUGCCUAUAUUAUGACAAAUUAUAUAUAUAUAUAUAUAAUAUUCAAAUCCUAUGUUUUGUAAUACCAAAAUAUAUGACAAAAUUAAAAUACAUCAAAUAAUAAAAACUAAUCAAAAUUCAUUAAUAAAAACUUCUAAUACUCCCUCCGUCCCAAUAUUCAAGUGAUUUCUUUUUGAGUCGUCCAAAUAUUCAAGUCUCCUUUCCCUUUUUAGCAAUAAUUAAGCAAGACUUAGUAAAUUAAUUAAAGGUCUCCACCCACCCCCAAUUUCAUCCCCACCCUCUGCUCUCUCUCUCUCUCGUCUUCCUCCCGCCGUCGCCACCACCAACCUCACGCCUUCACCGGUCUUCCGUCCGCCCUCUUCCUCACGCCGCCGCCACCACCAACCUCUCUCCUUCACUGGUCUUCCCUUGGCCCUCUUCCUCCCGCCGCCGCCACCACCAACCUCGCGCCUCCACCGUUCCUCCCGCCGCCCUCUUCCUCAAGCGGCCGCCACCACCAACCUUGCGCCUUUACCGGUCUUCUUUCGCCCUCUUCCUCCCGCCGUCACCACCAACCGAGGCGGCAGCUCUGUUGCAGAUUUGGGGGAAAAAAUUUUGGACCUUGAUUUCUAAGCAAGGUGGAGGUGAAAAUUUUGGAUCUUGAUUUCUAAGCAAGAUAACGAUGAAAAUUUUGGAUCUUGAUUUUGGCCUGUAGCUCUAUUGCAGAUUUUGUAUCUUAAUUUGGAUCUAAAUAUGAAUCUGUAAGGGUCGCCGCUCUGAAUCUGUAAAGGGUAGAGAGAUACAGAAUUUCGAGCCCUAACUUUUCCCCAAGAAUUCAGCCGCCGCCGCGGCUCCCUUUCCGGUGACCCAAGCGAUGUUUGUGGUUUAGAUCCUGUUGGCACUUUAAUUCUAUUUGAAUUCUAGAGCUUUCAUGUCUAAUUCAAAAUCUCUGUUUGUUAUCUUCAUUCAAGGCAGCAUCAGCAUCGCUGGUGUUGGAGAGCAUCAGCAUCAGCAUCGCCGCCGCAGCUCCCUUUCCGGCCCUCGAUUUCGCCGACGUUUUGUUCCCUUCACCCUUAAGCUUAAUUAGUCAAUUUAAUUAGUUAAUAAAAUAAUAUUAAAUAAAGUACUAAUUAUGUGAUCCCUACUACUUUUACCUCUACUUUAACUCUUCUUAAUAUCCGUGUCCAAAAGCAAGGAGACUUGAAUAUUGGGACGGAGAGAGUAUUUGAUAUCUCAUCAAAAGAUAUAACAUCACUAAUUGCAUCAUCUCUAACUACGUUUUGAAUCAUCUACUAAAAAUACUUCUAAUGUAAAAGGAAAGGGAAAAAAAAAUCUAAUUAAUGUAAUCUUCAAGCUUGAGUUUGUCCAACAUUUGAUGGACUCAAGUAAGUGCUUUGUGCUUCAAUUCCUCAACUCUGGCACUGGAUUCAACAAUCAUCCAUGUGUCAUCUUCUACUUGAUCAACAACCUCAGCUACCGGGGCUUCUUCUUCCACAAUUGGCACAUCACCAUUCUCAGAUGGAUUGCAAACUUCUCCUACCACAGCUUCUUCCGCGGGAGGUGUUUUAUUCUCAGAGGCAGGAACAUUAUUCUCCGGAACUGUUGUUGGGGCAGCAGUAGAAGUGUAGAGGAUUGUCACUUCACAAUCGGCAAUGAAUAGACAAGUAGAAAAGUAGUGAGA
rnacentral:lncRNA from 1 species